GAUGAACGCUAGCGGCAGGCUUAAUACAUGCAAGUCGAGGGACAGCACAGGUAGCAAUACUGGGUGGUAACCGGCAAACGGGUGCGGAACACGUACACAACCUUCCUUUAAGUGGGGGAUAGCCCAGAGAAAUUUGGAUUAAUACCCCGUAAUAUAGUUGAAUGGCAUCAUUUGAUUAUUAUAGCUACGGCGCUUAAUGAUGGGUGUGCGGCUGAUUAGAUAGUUGGCGGGGUAACGGCCCACCAAGUCUACGAUCAGUAGCUGAUGUGAGAGCAUGAUCAGCCACACGGGCACUGAGACACGGGCCCGACUCCUACGGGAGGCAGCAGUAAGGAGUAUUGGUCAAUGGACGCAAGUCUGAACCAGCCAUGCCGCGUGAAGGAUUAAGGUCCUCUGGAUUGUAAACUUCCUUUAUUUGGGACGAAAAAGGGCCUUUCCAGGUCAACUGACGGUACCAGAUGAAUGAGCACCGGCUAACUCCGUGCCAGCCGCCGCAGUAAUAC
rnacentral:rRNA from 1 species